ensembl:lncRNA
AGCAGCAGAAGAUACAGGAUGCCACAGCACUGUGCUGCUUAUUUCUGCGCUAAUCGGCGGACCAUCGCCAGCAUGGCUCGGGGGAUAACCUUUCACAAGUUUCCAAAGGACAAACAUGUGAGGAAGAAGUGGGAAGUGGCUUUGAGGAGAGAUGGAUUUACAGCUGAUAAGUGAUUCAUCAGUGCUUCGCUGUGAACACUUCAAGCAGACUGAUUUUGAUAAGACGGGUGCUGAGCGCUGCAGAGGGUGAUCUGCCGAGCUUCAACAACCCAAGCUCCUAAGGUGUCGACAGUCACACACAUCGUCCGAGAGGAGAUUGGAACGGAUGAUGUUUUUUUGCUUGGGGAACACAUUGAAGAGACACAGUUUGGCAUCGACAACCAUCAUUCAGACUUCAGUCAUUGGUUGUGUCUGUGUUUCUCAAGCUAAGGCUGCACCACAUUGCCAAACUCACCACUCUGGAACUGCAAAACGGGAGCACGAGAAAGAAGCUCUGCAAGACAGUCCUAUUCCAGGGGUUUUAGUGUGUGUGUGUGUGUGUGUGUGUGUGUGUGUGU